GGGGAUAUAGCUCAGUGGGUAGAGUGCUUGCCUUGCAUGCACAAGGAGCUGGGUUCUGGGUUCAAUCCCCAGCAGCACCA
rnacentral:tRNA from 1 species